UACGAAGGGGGCUAGCGUUGCUCGGAAUCACUGGGCGUAAAGGGUGCGUAGGCGGGUCUUUAAGUCAGGGGUGAAAUCCUGGAGCUCAACUCCAGAACUGCCUUUGAUACUGAGGAUCUUGAGUUCGGGAGAGGUGAGUGGAACUGCGAGUGUAGAGGUGAAAUUCGUAGAUAUUCGCAAGAACACCCGUAGCGAAGGCGGCACUCUGGGCAGUAACUGACGCUGAUGCGCGAAAGCGUGGGGAGCAAACGGG
rnacentral:rRNA from 1 species